rnacentral:rRNA from 1 species
GACGAACGCUGGCGGCGUGCUUAACACAUGCAAGUCGAACGGAAAGGCCCUGCUUUUGUGGGGUGCUCGAGUGGCGAACGGGUGAGUAACACGUGAGUAACCUGCCCUUGACUUUGGGAUAACUUCAGGAAACUGGGGCUAAUACCGGAUAGGAGCUCCUGCUGCAUGGUGGGGGUUGGAAAGUUUCGGCGGUUGGGGAUGGACUCGCGGCUUAUCAGCUUGUUGGUGGGGUAGUGGCUUACCAGGGCUUUGACGGGUAGCCGGCCUGAGAGGGUGACCGGCCACAUUGGGACUGAGAUACGGCCCAGACUCCUACGGGAGGCAGCAGUGGGGAAUAUUGCACAAUGGGCGGAAGCCUGAUGCAGCAACGCCGCGUGCGGGAUGACGGCCUUCGGGUUGUAAACCGCUUUCGCCUGUGACGAAGCGUGAGUGACGGUAAUGGGUAAAGAAGCACCGGCUAACUACGUGCCAGCAGCCGCGGUGAUACGUANGGUGCGAGCGUUGUCCGGAUUUAUUGGGCGUAAAGGGCUCGUAAGUGGGUGAUCGCGUCGGAAGUGUAAUCUUGGGGCUUAACCCUGAGCGUGCUUUCGAUACGGGUUGACUUGAGGAAGGUAGGGGAGAAUGGAAUUCCUGGUGGAGCGGUGGAAUGCGCAGAUAUCAGGAGGAACACCAGUGGCGAAGGCGGUUCUCUGGGCCUUUCCUGACGCUGAGGAGCGAGAGCGUGGGGAGCGAACAGGCUUAGAUACCCUGGUAGUCCACGCUGUAAACGGUGGGUACUAGGUGUGGGGUCCAUUCCACGGGUUCCGUGCCGUAGCUAACGCUUUAAGUACCCCGCCUGGGGAGUACGGCCGCAAGGCUAAAACUCAAAGGAAUUGACGGGGCCCCGCACAAGCGGCGGAGCAUGCGGAUUAAUUCGAUGCAACGCGUAGAACCUUACCUGGGUUUGACAUGGAUCGGGAGUGCUCAGAGAUGGGUGUGCCUCUUUUGGGGUCGGUUCACAGGUGGUGCAUGGCUGUCGUCAGCUCGUGUCGUGAGAUGUUGGGUUAAGUCCCGCAACGAGCGCAACCCUUGUUCACUGUUGCCAGCACGUUAUGGUGGGGACUCAGUGGAGACCGCCGGGGUCAACUCGGAGGAAGGUGGGGAUGACGUCAAGUCAUCAUGCCCCUUAUGUCCAGGGCUUCACGCAUGCUACAAUGGCUGGUACAGAGAGUGGCGAGCCUGUGAGGGUGAGCGAAUCUCGGAAAGCCGGUCUCAGUUCGGAUUGGGGUCUGCAACUCGACCUCAUGAAGUCGGAGUCGCUAGUAAUCGCAGAUCAGCAACGCUGCGGUGAAUACGUUCCCGGGGCU